rnacentral:rRNA from 1 species
UACGUAGGGGGCAAGCGUUGUCCGGAUUUAUUGGGCGUAAAGCGCGUGUAGGCGGCCAGUUAGGUCAGCUGUGAAAACUCGAGGCUCAACCUCGAGACGUCGGUUGAAACCACCUGGCUAGAGUCCGGAAGAGGAGAGUGGAAUUCCUGGUGUGGCGGUGAAAUGCGCAGAUAUCAGGAAGAACACCCGUGGCGAAGGCGGCUCUCUGGGACGGUACUGACGCUGAGACGCGAAAGCGUGGGGAGCAAACAGG